CAGCAGCCGCGGGAAUACGUAGGUGGCAAGCGUUGUCCGGAAUUAUUGGGCGUAAAGCGCGCGCAGGUGGUUUCUUAAGUCUGAUGUGAAAGCCCCCGGCUCAACCGGGGAGGGUCAUGGAAACUGGGAAACUUGAGUGCAGAAGAGGAGAGUGGAAUUCCACGUGUAGCGGUGAAAUGCGUAGAGAUGUGGAGGAACACCAGUGGCGAAGGCGACUCUCUGGUCUGUAACUGACGCUGAGGAGCGAAAGCGUGGGGAGCGAACAGGAUUAGAUACCCCCGUAGUCCCUGUCUCUUAUACA
rnacentral:rRNA from 1 species